rnacentral:rRNA from 1 species
GACGAACGCUGGCGGCGUGCUUAACACAUGCAAGUCGAACGGAAAGGCCCUGCUUUUGUGGGGUGCUCGAGUGGCGAACGGGUGAGUAACACGUGAGUAACCUGCCCUUGACUUUCGGAUAACUUAAGGAAACUGGGGCUACUACCGUAUAGCAGCUCCUGCUGCAUGGUGGGGGUUGGAACGUCUCGGCGGUAGGGGAUGGACUCGCGGCUUAUCAGCUUGUUGGUGGGGUAGUGGCUUACCAAGGGUUUGACGGGUAGCCGGCCCGUGAGGGGGACCGGCGACAUUGGGACUGAGGUACGGAGCAGACGCCAAUGGGAGGCAGUGGUGGGGAACAUUGCACAAUGGUCCGACGUCUGAGGCAGCAACGUCGCGGUCGUGAUGACGGCCUUUGGGUUGUAAACCGCUGUCGCUUGUUACGAAGCGUUAGUGACGGUAAUGGGUAAAGAAGCACCGGCUAACUACGUG